rnacentral:rRNA from 1 species
GGCCGCGGGAAUUCGAUUCAGGCGUAACACAUGCAAGUCGAACGGCAGCACGGGAGCUUGCUCCUGGUGGCGAGUGGCGAACGGGUGAGUAAUACAUCGGAACGUACCCAGUAGUGGGGGAUAACGCACCGAAAGGUGCGCUAAUACCGCAUACGACCUACGGGUGAAAGCGGGGGACCGUAAGGCCUCGCGCUAUUGGAGCGGCCGAUGUCUGAUUAGCUAGUUGGUGAGGUAAAGGCUCACCAAGGCUUCGAUCAGUAGCUGGUCUGAGAGGACGAUCAGCCACACUGGGACUGAGACACGGCCCAGACUCCUACGGGAGGCAGCAGUGGGGAAUUUUGGACAAUGGGCGAAAGCCUGAUCCAGCAAGGCCGCGUGUGCGAAGAAGGCCUUCGGG